CUUAUUUACGUUUGUUGAGAAAUGAGAGCUAUCUGCUUGGGAUCAGCCAAGAAGUACGGUGGAGAGGGCUUAGGUUCUGAAGGAGACUUGGACUUCAAUGCAGUGUCAGCCUCUGGCUGGCUCCAUGAUCUCCUGGGAGAGGCACUUCAGAUCUGGGUGCUUUCCUUUCCUCCUCUGUGAAACAUCACAGAUUGCUGCUAAGGUUUUAAGGACCAUCCCUGUCUCACCUCCAUGGACUGUCUACAAUAUGCAUGGUCAAAAAGUAGACCCGUUCUGCAACCGGACAGCAGAGAAAUGUGUCUGUGAUACCCACACAGUCAAGAGGCACACUUAAAAUAGCAUCAGACCCUAAAAAAAGAUAGGAAAUGACCACAGACCAGUGGGCCAGACAGCACAUGUAUCCUCUGUCCAGGACCCAUGGCCACUGUUGGCAGGCCUACCACUGAGGCAAAUCCUACUAGGAGGUGGAAGUCAUGAAAAGAGUUUUUCCACAUUCCUUUCUGUGAUCUACAGUAAAAACCUCAGGGAGAUAUUGAAUCAUCUGCUGUUUUUUACAACCCCAAUUAAACAAAAUUUUCUGCA